AUUGAACGCUGGCGGCAUGCUUUACACAUGCAAGUCGAGCGGUAACAGGCCUUCGGGUGCUGACGAGUGGCGAACGGGUGAGUAAUGCAUCGGAACGUACCCAGAGGUGGGGGAUAACGCAGCGAAAGCUGUGCUAAUACCGCAUGUGAUCUGAGGAUGGCAGCGGGGGACCGAGCAGCAAUGUUUGGCCUCGCGCCUUUGGAGCGGCCGAUGUCGGAUUAGCUAGUUGGUGGGGUAAAGGCCUACCAAGGCGACGAUCCGUAGCUGGUCUGAGAGGACGACCAGCCACACUGGGACUGAGACACGGCCCAGACUCCUACGGGAGGCAGCAGUGGGGAAUUUUGGACAAUGGGCGCAAGCCUGAUCCAGCAAUGCCGCGUGCGGGAAGAAGGCCUUCGGGUUGUAAACCGCUUUUGGCAGGAACGAAACGGUGUCCGCUAAUACCGGGCGCUAAUGACGGUACCUGCAGAAUAAGCACCGGCUAACUACGUG
rnacentral:rRNA from 1 species